UACGUAGGGGGCAAGCGUUAUCCGGAUUUACUGGGUGUAAAGGGGGCGCAGACGGCGAUGCAAGCCGGGAGUGAAAGCCCGGGGCCCAACCCCGGGACUGCUCUUGGAGCUGCGUGGCUGGAGUGCAGGAGGGGCAGGUGGAAUUCCUGGUGUAGCGGUGAAAUGCGUAGAUAUCAGGAGGAACACCGGUGGCGAAGGCGGCCUGCUGGACUGCAACUGACGUUGAGGCCCGAAAGCGUGGGGAGCAAACAGG
rnacentral:rRNA from 1 species